GCAAUGCCUACUACUCCCGGAUAUAUUAUAAGUAUCCUCUUAACUGUUGCCAUAUCUUCAUUGCUGUUCGAGCGAAGCAGACUCACAGGAUAUUUCUGAGACAGAAAGACUUCAAGCCAGUAUCAAAACCCAAUAACCAACCCUGCUUUCACGUAAGAAUUAGUGAAUUUGAAGAGAUAAAUUGUAUUCGAAGGAAGAAAACAAAAUCCACA